GAGAAGAACGUAGCAAAAUGCGAUAAGUAAUGUGAAUUGCAGAAUUCAGUGAAUCAUCGAAUCUUUGAACGCACAUUGCGCCCGCCAGUAUUCUGGCGGGCAUGCCUGUUCGAGCGUCAUUUCAACCCUCAAGCACAGCUUGGUGUUGGGACUCGCGUUAAUUCGCGUUCCUCAAAUUGAUUGGCGGUCACGUCGAGCUUCCAUAGCGUAGUAGUAAAACCCUCGUUACUGGUAAUCGUCGCGGCCACGCCGUUAAACCCCAACUUCUGAAUGUUGACCUCGGAUCAGGUAGGAAUACCCGCUGAACUUAAGCAUAUCAAUAAGCGGAGGA
rnacentral:misc_RNA from 1 species